rnacentral:tRNA from 1 species
GGCUUAGUUAGUAGGUUGUUUUGAAAGCAAUUGUUUAAAUGAGUAAGGUCAUUUUUAAGCUU